CAGUCGCCGCGGUAAUACGAAGGGGGCUAGCGUUGUUCGGAUUUACUGGGCGUAAAGCGCACGUAGGUGGAUUGUUAAGUCAGAGGUGAAAUCCUGGAGCUCAACUCCAGAACUGCCUUUGAUACUGGCAAUCUUGAGUCCGGAAGAGGUAAGUGGAACUCCUAGUGUAGAGGUGGAAUUCGUAGAUAUUAGGAAGAACACCAGUGGCGAAGGCGACUUACUGGUCCGGUACUGACGCUGAGGUGCGAAAGCGUGGGGAGCAAACAGGAUUAGAUACCCGCGUAGUCCCUGUCUCUUAUAC
rnacentral:rRNA from 1 species